rnacentral:rRNA from 1 species
UACGUAGGGUGCAAGCGUUGUCCGGAAUUAUUGGGCGUAAAGAGCUCGUAGGCGGUUUGUUGCGUCGGCUGUGAAAUCCCGAGGCUCAACCUCGGGUCUGCAGUCGAUACGAGCAAACUAGAGUGUUGCAGGGGAGACUGGAAUUCCUGGUGUAGCGGUGAAAUGCGCAGAUAUCAGGAGGAACACCGGGUGGCGAAGGCGGGGUCUCUGGGGCCGAAAAUUGACGCCUGAGGAGCGAAAGCGUGGGGGAGCGAACAGG